UGGGGAAUAUUGGGCAAUGGGCGAAAGCCUGACCCAGCAACGCCGCGUGAAGGAAGAAGGUCUUCGGAUUGUAAACUUCUUUUAUGAGGGACGAAGGACGUGACGGUACCUCAUGAAUAAGCCACGGCUAACUACGUGCCAGCAGCCGCGGUAAUACGUAGGUGGCAAGCGUUAUCCGGAUUUACUGGGUGUAAAGGGCGCGUAGGCGGGGAUGCAAGUCAGAUGUGAAAUCUAUGGGCUUAACCCAUAAACUGCAUUUGAAACUGUAUCUCUUGAGUGCUGGAGAGGUAGACGGAAUUCCUUGUGUAGCGGUGAAAUGCGUAGAUAUAAGGAAGAACACCAGUGGCGAAGGCGGUCUACUGGACAGUAACUGACGCUGAGGCGCGAGAGCGUGGGGAGCAAACAGGAUUAGAUACCCUGGUAGU
rnacentral:rRNA from 1 species